GUCUACCGACUGCGGUACGACAGGCGCGUCUGCGGGGCUUCUCGCCGGUGCGUGUUUUCCGUCGGCACGUCGACGUCGGUCUCCUAAGUGUGAUCGGCGUCGCGUCGAGACGGGCCCUCGCGGCUGUUUACUUUGAACAAAUUAGAGUGCUCAAAGCGGGCUAAUAUUUGCCUGAAUAUUGUGCGCAUGGAAUAAUAGAAUAGGACCUCGGUUCUGUUUUGUUGGCUUUCUGAUACCGGAGGUAAUGAUUAAUAGGGACAACUGGGGGCAUUCGUAUUGCGACGUUAGAGGUGAAAUUCUUGGAUCGUCGCAAGACGAACUAAAGCGAAAGCAUUUGCCAAAGGUGUUUUCAUUAAUCAAGAACGAAAGUUAGAGGUUCGAAGGCGAUUAGAUACCGCUGUAGUUCUAACCAUAAAUGAUGCCAGCCAGCGAUCCGCCGAAGUUUUUUACGUUGAUUCGGUGGGCAGCUCCCGGGAAACCAAAGCUUUC
rnacentral:rRNA from 1 species